UACGUAGGGUGCGAGCGUUAAUCGGAAUUACUGGGCGUAAAGGGUGCGCAGGCGGUCUCACAAGCUAGAUGUGAAAGCCCCGGGCUUAACCUGGGAAUGGCAUUUAGGACUGUGGGGCUGGAGUGCGGCAGAGGGAGGUGGAAUUCCACGUGUAGCAGUGAAAUGCGUAGAGAUGUGGAGGAACACCGAUGGCGAAGGCAGCCUCCUGGGCCGACACUGACGCUCAUGCACGAAAGCGUGGGGAGCAAACAGG
rnacentral:rRNA from 1 species